GAUGUUAACGCGCACACUGUGCAGGCGCGCCAAACCGAUCCACCGUGCAGUACGAGAAGGGGAUGCGGGACGCGCGGGAGGAGGGCCGCUGGCCGCGUCGCUUCGCCGGGGCCGCGCGCCGCGCUCUUUCGCCACCGGCACCGGACGAGUGCACACGUCGUGAUUAACCUAAUAUUUUUGUAUAACGCCAAUCGCCACACGUCGUAACUAUGAAACCUAUAACCUACAAUCUACGCCGAGCGGCGCGCAGCGGGCUAAGUGAGGACGGCGGCAACACGUGCAGCCAACGUGUCUCCGCGGACCACGCCGUACCACCACCACGAGUUCUACGAAGACGCAGACUACAACAGCAGGCGGCAUCAGACGGCGGAGGUCUAACCCGAGGGAAGUUGCUCGUUUCCUAUUAUUUCCUAUCCUUUUCCUAGUGUUUAUUUGUGUGAAUAGCCUAGCGGGCUUAGGUACUAUUCGUUAAUUAGCUUGCCUAUAUUCAAAAUGGUACAAAUUUUGCUUUUCUAGCCUACGACGCUAUAGUGGGCGAGUCCAUUAUUUUUGUGCCGCGUUUUCUAACCUACGACGCUAUAGUGGGCGAGUCCAUUUUGUGCCGCGUUUUCUAACCUACGACGCUAUAGUGGGCGAGUCCAUUUUGUGCCGCGUUUUCUAACCUACGACGCUAUAGUGGGCGAGUCCAUUUUGUGCCGCGUGUGUGAAAUUGCAUAGCCUAAACUUAAUUUCAUUUAAAUCGUGCAUCCUAAACUACGUGUACGCCUAAUUAAUCUAAAAGCAUCUAUAUUAAUGCACCUAAUAAUUAUUUAUUGUACACACUAAAAGUGUACCUACGCCUAAUGCACUAUAAGCAUAUCUACCUAAGCAUAUUAAUUUUGCAAAUUGAGGUUUUGGGCGCGGGUUCGAUUCCAGGUCAGGCAAGUACCAAUGCAACUUUUCUAAGUUUGUAUGUACUUUCUAAGUAUAUCUUAGACACCAAUGACUGUGUUUCGGAUGGCACGUUAAACUGUAGGUCCCGGCUGUCAUUGAACAUCCUUGGCAGUCGUUACGGGUAGUCAGAAGCCAGUAAGUCUGACACCAGUCUAACCAAGGGGUAUUGGGUUGCCCGGGUAACUGGGUUGAGGGGGUCAGAUAGGGCAGUCGCUCCUUGUAAAGCACUGGUACUCAGCUACAUCCGGUUAGACUGGAAGCCGACCCCAACGUAGUUUGGGAAAAAGGCUCGGAGGAUGAUGCUUAUU
rnacentral:lncRNA from 1 species